AGAGUUUGAUCAUGGCUCAGAACGAACGCUGGCGGCGUGCUUAACACAUGCAAGUCGAGUGCGCGCCUGUAGCAAUACAGGUGGCGCACGGCGCACGGGUGCGUAACACGUGGGCAAUCUGCCCUCUGAUGGGGAAUAACCCGCCGAAAGGCGGGCUAAUACCGCAUAAAAUUCCUUGGACUUAUGUUCGAGGACUCAAAGGCGUAAGUCGUCGGAGGAGGAGCCCGCGCACGAUUAGCUAGUUGGUAGGGUAAUGGCCUACCAAGGCUUUGAUCGUUAGCUGGUCUGAGAGGAUGGCCAGCCACACUGGAACUGAGACACGGUCCAGACUCCUACGGGAGGCAGCAGUGGGGAAUCUUGCACAAUGGGCGAAAGCCUGAUGCAGCGACGCCGCGUGGGGGAUGAAGCAUUUCGGUGUGUAAACCCCUUUCGAUCCGGACGAAUGCCUCGCAAGAGGAGUGACGGUACGGAUAUAAGAAGCCCCGGCUAACUACGUGCCAGCAGCCGCGGUAAGACGUAGGGGGCCAGCGUUGUUCGGAAUUACUGGGUGUAAAGGGUUCGUAGGCGGUGUGGCAAGUUGGGUGUGAAAUCUCUGGGCUCAACCCAGAGACUGCUUCCAAAACUGCUGCGCUUGAGUGUGAGAGAGGCUCGUGGAAUUGCAGGUGUAGCGGUGAAAUGCGUAGAUAUCUGCAGGAACACCCGUGGCGAAAGCGGCGAGCUGGAUCACUACUGACGCUGAGGAACGAAAGCUAGGGGAGCAAACAGGAUUAGAUACCCUAGUAGUCC
rnacentral:rRNA from 1 species